rnacentral:rRNA from 1 species
UACGGGGGGGGCAAGCGUUGUUCGGAAUUACUGGGCGUAAAGGGGACGUAGGCGGCCAACUAAGUCCGACGUGAAAUCCCAAGGCUUAACCUUGGAACUGCGUCGGAUACUGGAUGGCUUGAAUUCGGGAGAGGGAUGCAGAAUUCCCAGUGUAGUGGUGAAAUACGUAGAGAUUGGGAAGAACACCAGUGGCGAAGGCGGCUAUCUGGACGGUUUCUGACACUAAGACUCGAAAGCGUGGGGAGCAAACAGG